rnacentral:rRNA from 1 species
GACGAACGCUGGCGGCGUGCCUAAUACAUGCAAGUCGAGCGAAGCGGCGGGUGGGUGGGGAACGCGUGGGUAACCUGCCCUUAAGUCUGGGAUACCAUUUGGGAACAGAUGCUAAUACCGGAUACUAUAGGAUGGCCCUGCGAUGAAUUAGCUAGUGGGUAAGGUCACGUCUUACAAAGGCUAAGAUGCAUAUCCGAGUUGUGAGGCUGAUCGGCCACAUUGGGACUGAGGAACGGCCCAAACUCCUACGGGAGUCAGCAGUAGGUAAUCGUCCACAAUGGACGAAAGUCUGAUGGAGCAACGCCGCGUGAGUGAAGAAGGUUUUCCGAUCGUAAAGCUCUGUUGUUGGUGAAGCGGUACUUAACCAGAAAGUCACGGCUAACUACGUGCCAGCAGCCGCGGUAAUAC